UCUAACAGUACCAUCAACACUUCCCGCAAUCAUUUCAGUUUUAGUCAGGCAAACAGACAUUACACUGUCCGAAAAAGUAUCAAUGAUCUGAAUUGGCUCAGUACUGUGGGAUCUACAAUCCCAAGCACGCAAAGACUGGUCAUAACCAGCUGAUACUACAGCAGAAGAAUACUCAUUAAACUUCACAGCGUUCACCUCGCUAUCGUGGCCACGGAAUUUUCGAAUAACACGACCAGUUGCCACAUCCCAAUAAAAGAUUUGCCGGUCACCACCGCAAGAAAUUAACUUGGAAUUGUCCGAAGUGACAUGGACGUCUCGGACUUCGCGGCCGUGAGAUUUAUAGGUCUUGAUAUGGAUUCCACGGUGCGGAUUCCAUAGACGAAUUGUGCGGUCCUUGCCGCAGCUCAGACAAUAAUUGCCGUCUCCGUUGAAUCUAGCGGCUAAAACUGCGCCUUCGUGGCCUCUCAGCACCGUCGCCUACUUCUCAGGCGGAUCCGACGCACUCAUAUCUCACUCAGUCUCACUCUCACUCUCACUCUCUUCGUUUUUCAGGCGGGAACAGCCCCCGGUCUCCGACGCAAGCUGGGUUCCUACCUUCUGGAUUAGGCUCGUAGUAUUGGGUCUCUUAGCCCAUAUCUCUAAAUGAAAAUGGGCUUUUCUGGGUUGGGUCUGUUUGUGUGAUUUGGGAUCAAUCAAAGAGAUAGAGAAAUAGAAAUCCAUUCAAACUCGUUUAUAUGUAACCGAGCCCAUGCUUCAGCACUUAACAAUUCAUUUCUCGAGAUCGGAGCCGUCAAAAAUUUUAAAAAAUAAAAAAGAAAACCAGCUUUCAACUCAAUGCCCGUUAACCUCUGCUCCAUCUCUCUGUCUCUUUCGCCUUUCACCAAUGGCAGAUUACGACACCCACCACCAGCAUCACCAGGGCGGCGGCCACCACCACCACCACCAAACGAUCCCAAAAGAAACAGCUCUCCAAGCCCUAAACACUAUAAUCCAACUCCAUUUUGAGAAGACCCUGGAAAAGAAAAAAGCAAUAGACCUCCAAAAGAAAGAGCUUCACAAGCUCUUCCUUCUUUUCUUCAUCUUCCUCUCUCUAGUCUUCAUGGGCGUGGCUCAGCCUAGUCGCCUUCAGUGCUGCCACUGCUGGGCCCCGAUAACCUUUCUCUCUUUGGCCCACCUCAUCUUCUAUGUCUCUGUGGCUCAAACUCUUCGGUGCAUCAAUGGUUUCAAGUACCAAAGACGGUGCCACAAGCUGACCCUUGGAUUGGCGACUGAGAAGCUAAGGGAAUUUAAGAUGAGAAUUGCUAGUGGUAGUAGUGAGUGUGGUGAGGUGGUUGGUGAUGAAGGUGAGCUUCAGAUUCAUUACCAAGAACCACCAGAGAGUUACUUUGGUAAGUUCAAGAGGAACUGGGCUUUACAUUUUGGGUUCUUGAUCUUGAUAUAUGCGUUCAUGGUAUCUUCUUCUGUUGUUCUUCUUUGUUAUUGAUGGAUUAGCGUGUGUUGAAGUUUUUGAUGUAAGAAUUUCUUCUUGAUUAGAUUAAAUUCCAGUGUGGAAUUAGUUAUUCAAUGAUUUGGGUAUGUGAAUCUGAACUGGUAGAUUAAUUUCUUGAUAAAAUCUUGUAUGGGUUUCUCUCAGAAAGUUGAAUGGAAUGAAAAGCAGUAAAAUUGUAGAUGGGAUUAUGAAAAGGGCAAUGAUGAAAGCACAUUGUGCUUUGCAUUUGAUAUUUUUGAACACUUUUUGUCGCUUUCAGUUUUCAUCCUCUGUGAAAGUGAAACUGAAAAAU
rnacentral:misc_RNA from 1 species